CUGGCGGCAGCCUACACAUGCAAGUCGUACGGAGGGUGGGGCAACUCACUCUCAGUGGCAAACGGGUGAGUAACGCGUGAAUAACCUGCCUUUGAGAAGGGGAUAACUGUCCGAAAGGAUAGCUAAUACCCUAUAUUGCCUUUUGUCACUAAGGCAAAAAGUGAAAGCGAGGCUGUCAAAGGCUUCGGCUCAAAGAGGGGUUCGCGUCCUAUCAGGUAGUUGGUGGGGUAAUGGCCUACCAAGCCAAUGACGGGUAGCUGGUCUUAGAGGAUGAUCAGCCACAGUGGGACUGAGACACGGCCCGCACCCCUACGGGGGGCAGCAGUGGGGAAUCGUGGGCAAUGGGCGCAAGCCUGACCCCGCAAUGCCGCGUGAGGGAAGAAGCCCUUCGGGGUGUAAACCUCUGUCAGAUGGGAAGAUGGGACUAGGGGCUAAUACCUCCUGGUCUUGACGGUACCAUCAGAGGAAGGGACGGCUAACUACGUGCCAGCAGCCGCGGUAAU
rnacentral:rRNA from 1 species